UACGUAGGGUGCAAGCGUUGUCCGGAAUUAUUGGGCGUAAAGAGCUCGUAGGCGGCCUGUUGCGUCCGCUGUGAAAUCCCGGGGCUUAACCCCGGGGCUUGCAGUGGAUACGGGCAGGCUGGAGGCAGGCAGGGGGAGAACGGAAUUCCCGGUGUAGCGGUGAAAUGCGCAGAUAUCGGGAGGAACACCGGUGGCGAAGGCGGUUCUCUGGGCCUGUACUGACGCUGAGGAGCGAAAGCGUGGGGAGCGAACAGG
rnacentral:rRNA from 1 species